rnacentral:lncRNA from 1 species
AUAUAUAGCUUAUUGAUGGUUAAAUCACACUUUUCAUCAAACCUGACUAUUAGGCUCUAUUUAUGAAGCUAAACCUAUGAAGCACGGACAAGAUUUGUAUUGAGAAGAUAUAUUUCCUUUGAAUUGUAUUGAAAUUCAGUUGGGUAUGUUUUAAGUAUGCAAGCUUCUUAUUCAAUCCACAAAUUGUCAAACAUGGCAUCUAGAACAUUGUUUGUUAGGUGUAACGUUAUCACGUGUAGUAGGCAAUAAUCUGACAGUUGUCAGAUAUUAGUAAAAUUAGCAAUAACGAUGCUAAUAACACAUGAAAAAGAUUGGUAGACAAGUCUGGAGGCUUAUGCAUUGUAAGGAGACUCUAUGCUCUAAGGUGCUGAGCGCGAAAUAUUUCCCGGAGGGUGAUGUGCUUAGACCAAAAUGUUGUGAGAAGCCAUCUUUUACUUGGUCUAGCAUUGCUAAAGCGAUUAACGCCCUCAAGGAUGGCUUUCGGUGGCAGAUUGGGGAUGGUAAAUCUAUCGACAUUCGCAGGGAUCACUGGGGUAUCGAAGGUCUCAAUGGGGAGUCGGUUUGUCGGUCAAGUUUAACAAAUGAAGGAAGAAAUGUCAAAGACCUAUGGGACUACAAUUAUGGGCGGUGGAAAAAGGACAGGGUUACGGAAUUAUAAGGUAAAAACAUGGGGGAUUUAAUUUGAAAUUUACCCAUUCUCCAUAAUGGCAUAAAUGAUAGCAGAACGUGGAUCCAAAACCCUCAUGGUGUUUACACCUCAAAAUCAGCUUAUUCAUGGUUAUUACUUAGAAGAAUAGGCUACGGCCCUCACAAAUUGAUUUGGAGAAUUAUAUGGAAGUUAAAAAUGCUUUCUAAAAUUAAAUUCUUUAGCUGGAGGAUCUGUCACAAUAUUCUGCCUACCUACGAUAAUAUUGCUCGUAUCCGUCAAGAGUUCUCGCAAGCCUGCCCCAGAUGCAAAAUGCGAGAAUGAAACGCUCAUCCACGCUCUGAAAGAUUGCCCUAAAGUUCGAGAGAUACUCAUGAUCGGGGGGAUAAAUAACAGGCUGAUUGAUGGAAGAUAUGAACGGUGCAUCGACUGGCUGGAAGAUGUUCUGCGUGUGUUGGACAAAAAAGUAGCGGCUGAUUUUUUCACCCUCCUCUGGAAUUGCUGGAAUGACAGAAACAAUCUGGUUUUUCAGGGGAAGGAAGACAUGGCCAUGGUGGUUUGGGAAAGAGCGCAGACUCUCAGCAAAGAUUUCCAUAUUUUCAAUUUUGCAGCACCCCCUGUUAUCCCCUUAACCCCGAUAAGUAAAGGGUGGACGAGACCUCCAGCUGGUGUUAUUAAGAUUAACGUCGACGCGGCAGUCGUGGAUAGGAAAGCUGGGUACGGAGCCAUUGCCAGAGACCAUGAUGGCUUUGUGGUCGGGGGUAGCUAUAGUUUUGCGGAUAAAAUUCAAGACGUUAAAUGGGCGGAAUUUGACGCUUUUGUGGAAGGUUUAAAUCUGGCUUUAAAGCUGAAUGUGGAUAAGCUCAUAUUGGAAUCUGAUAGUGCGUCUCUUGUCAACGCGGUUAAAAAGAGGGACCAAGACAUUACCAUUUUGGGCUGCUGUGUUAAUAAAGCCUGUAAAAAGCUUAAUGAUUUUAAUUCGGUCCAAGCGAUUAAGGAUAAGUGUUGACCUUUGGGUUGUUUUUGUCAAAAAAAAAAAGAAAAAGAGAAGAAACUUUUAGUGUUGGUACUAAGCAGUAGCAGACAUUGAAACCUCAGUGAAUAUAAUAAUGGCAGUAAAGUACAAAACACUCAUAGAAUGGAUAUGAGCAAUAACAAAUAAAAACCAACCUGUUUGUGUUGAUAUAUUGAGCAAGAUAUUUGGAGAGUAUAAUAAGUGAACCAGAUGCAUGCCGGAAAUACUUGAAGGGAAGAACAUAAUAGUAUGAAAACACAAAAUAGAAAAAAUAUGGUAAUGCAAACAUCAAGCUAGAUAACUUACGAUUUCUCAUCCCCAAAUUUCCACUCUUCAGGUUCAUACCAAAGCUUUCCCCUGAAAACAAGAUAUCCAAAAGCUGAACUUAAAAUGUAAACAACUCAAGCUCAAAGUAGCAUUUGAAAGAAUGAAUAUCCUCCAAUAUUUUCAAGGGAAAGUAACCAGAGUCAAAUAUACAAAGAUUUACAAGAAAAAGAAAAGAAUGUCCAAACAUGACAUAAGAACUAUCUUUUAUCGUGAUAUAAUGACAGACUAAGAUAAAAAAAAAUACGUACUCUUCAGAAACCACUUCUCCUGCCUUCAUGCAUCCAAUAUAAGCCCUAUCUUGGUGACGUCGAUGUUCAAGAAGUCCAAUCAACCCCUCUGUCAUGUAGGAAAAAAAGGAGUGAAUGAUUUAUCAAAGUUUCAGUUAAUAAAGCGCAACAAGCCAAAAGCCAAAAAAAGUUGUGAUAUUCUAUCCAAAUGAAAAGGGAAAAAGUCCUACCUAGGUCAACGUCAAUAUUAUCAUCAACUUUAAUGUAAAAUUCGGUGUCCGUUCAUCCGCCUCCACAAUCACCAUGCGGCUCAUCCGAAUAGAACAGGCAAAUUGGGCAGACGGAUCCUAUAGCUACCGUUGGAGAGAACCGAAACAGUGGGAAAAUUUCCAAGAAUGAAACACUUAUGAAUCUUAAGAGAAUUUCAUACAGAAACAGUUUAAAGGAAUGAAAUAGCACAAAUAACGUAACAUAAAUUCCUACCAGGAAAUUGACAAACAGAAAUGAAUGAAAAAUAAAAGAAAAAGGCAAACAUUUUGAAUCGUUGUGUAGAGUUGGAGGCACGUCAAAUUUUGGGAGGAUUAGAGGCGGGAUAUCUGUGGAAACAAUUGAAACGAUGCGUGGUGGAAACAAUUGAAACGGUGAGUUUUGAAUUAGUAAAUCAUGAACAGUUUAUGUUUUUUAAGCUUCGAAAACUUUGAAAGGCCAUAACUUUUCGCUCGGUUGUCCAAUUGAGACGAUUUUUUUUAUUUCGAAUAACUUUUCGAGAUAUACGCCUGAUAAACUUAUUCAAAACUAGUAGACCUAUUUUUACGGCGUUACAAACACAACAUACUUUGGAAAAUUUGCGAUUACAAGUAGGUUUGGACAAUUAGGAUUGUGAUCGAGAAGCUUCUAUCAAAGAUAAGCAGACCAUGUUGAGUCAAAUUUGCGAUUACAAGUAGGUUUGGACAAUUAGGAUUGUGAUCGAGGAGCUUCUAUCAAAGAUAAGCAGAAUUUGGUGGUCUGGAAAGGAAAGAGGAAAAUAUUGGGCGAUACUCCCGUGGAAGAAGUUGUGUGCCAGCAUAAAAAGAUGGGGUUAUUAGUACUCACGAUAUUCAUGAGUGAUAUAUUUCUGAAAAUAUUUUUAUUUUCCGGAAUAUUAUUUACCUAUUUAGUUAAUAUUGUAACUUCUCUCCAUUUUAAAUUAUUUUUCAAUAAAAUAUUUACUCUAAACAAAAAAUAUUUAAAACCAUAAAAUUGAUUUCUCAAAAAAUAUUUUUUAUUUCCCGGAAUAUUAUUUACCUAUUUAGUUAAUAUUGUAAUCUCUCCAUUUUAAAUUAUUUUUCAAUAAAAUAUUUACUCUAACCCAAAAAUAUUUAAAACCAUAAGAUUGAUUUCUCAAAAAAUAUUUUUAUUUUCGGAAAUAUUAUUUACCGAUUUUUAAAUGAAAUUAAGCUAACUAUUUUUUAAAAAAAAAACAAUGACUAGUAAAAGAGGAAAAUAUUGGGUGAUACUACCGUGGAAGAAUUUGUGUGUCAGCCUAAAAAGAUGGGGGUAUUAGUAUUCACGAUAUUCGUGAGUGAAAUAUUUCUAAAAAUAUUUUUAUUUUUCGGAAUAUUAUUUACCUAUUUAGUUAAUAUUGUAACUUCUCUCCAUUUUAAAUUAUUUUUCAAUAAAAUAUUUACUCUAACCAAAAAAAUUUAAAACCAUAAAAUUGAUUUCUCGAAAAAUAUUUUUAUUUUCGGAAAUGUUAUUUACCGAUUUUUAAAUGAAAUUAAGCUAACUAAUUUUUUUUUAAAGAAAUUAGUAGUAAACCCGAUUAACUCCUAGCUUUCACCCGGAACCCGAUAAACUUACUCAAAACUAGUAGAGAUAUUUUUAAGGCGUUACAAAUACAACAUAGUUUGGAAAAUUUGCGAUUACAAGUAGGUUUGGACAAUUAGGAUUAGACAAAGGGUUUUUGAAGGUUGUUGAGAUAUGUUUGGUACUAAAAGAUUAACUAUGAUCUUUUGAAUUAUGUGAAGAAAAGUAGGAUCGAAGAUAACUCUGGACAAGUACGAAUGGGAUUUAGCAAACAAUGUAAAAUAACUUUUCAAUGUUGUUUGGCUAAAUACAAAAGUUAUGAGUAUGAAACCAAAAUGUUGAUUUUGAACAGAAUAAAAAAUGUGGUGCGGAAUGCAUCGAUAUAGCAAAAGGAGGAGUCUACAAUAAAAAAAGAAUUGCCUCAAGAAUGUAAUCAACAUUUGACUAAAUGCAUGAAUCGAUAUAGUAAAUGAGGUAACCUCAGUAACAAUGGUUGAUUGUAAAAGUAAUAUAAUUAGUGAAUGAACCAAGGAAAGAUUUGGUAAACAUAUAUAGCUUAUUGAUGGUUAAAUCACACUUUUCAUCAAACCUGACUAUUAGGCUCUAUUUAUGAAGCUAAACCUAUGAAGCACGGACAAGAUUUGUAUUGAGAGGAUAUAUUUCCUUUGAAUUGUAUUGAAAUUCAGUUGGGUAUGUUUUAAGUAUGCAAGCUUCUUAUUCAAUCCACAAAUUGUCAGACAUGGCAUCUAGAACAUUGUUUGUUAGGUGUAACGUUAUCACGUGUAGUAGGCAAUAAUCUGACAGUUGUCAAACAUUAGUAAAACUAGCCAUAACGACGCUAAUAACACAUGAAAAAGAUUGGUAGACAAGUUUGGAGGCUUAUGCAUUGUAAGGAGACUCUAUGCUCUAAGGUGCUGAGCGCAAAAUAUUUCCCGGAGGGUGAUGUGCUUAGACCAAAAUAUUGUGAGAAGCCAUCUUUUACUUGUUCUAGCAUUGCUAAAGCGAUUAACGCCCUCAAGGAUGGCUUUCUGUGGCAGAUUGGGGAUGGUAAAUCUAUCGACAUUCGCAGGGAUCUCUGGGCUAUCGAAGGUCUCAAUGGGGAGUCGGUUUGUCGAUUUACACCUCAAAAUCAGCUUAUUCAUGGUUAUUACUUAGAAGAAUAGGCUACGGCCCUCACAGAUUGAUUUGGAGAAUUAUAUGGAAGUUAAAAAUGCUUUCUAAAAUUAAAGUCUUUAGCUGGAGGAUCUGUCAUAAUAUUCUGCCUACCUACGAUAAUAUUGCUCGUAUCCGUCAAGAGUUCUCGCAAGCCUGCCCCAGAUGCAACAGCGAGAAGGAAACGCUCAUCCACGCUCUGAAAGAUUGCCCUAAAGUUUGAGAGAUACUCAUGAUCGGGGGAAUAAAUAACAGGCUGAUUGAUGGAAGAUAUGAACGGUGCAUCAACUGGCUGGAAGAUGUUCUGCGUGUGUUGGACAAAAAAGCAGCGGCCGAUUUUUUCACCCUCCUCUGGAACUGCUGGAAUGACAGAAACAAUAUGGUUUUUCAGGGGAAGGAAGACAUGGCCAUGGUGGUUUGGGAAAGAGCGCAGGCUCUCAGCAAAGAUUUCCGUAUUUUCAAUUUUGCAGCACCCCCUGUUAUCCCUUUAACCCCGAUAAGUAAAGGGUGGACGAGACCUCCAGCUGGUGUUAUUAAGAUUAAUGUCGACGCGGCGGUUGUGGAUGGGAAAUCUGGGUACGGAGCCAUUUCCAGAGACCAUGAUGGCUUUGUGGUCGGGGGUAGCUAUAGUUUUGAGGAUAAAAUUCAGGACGUUAAAUGGGCGGAA